AACGUUAAACCUAAACGUAGUUACUACCUGGUCGCUCGUGGUGCGGUCUCUCAUUUUGUGGCGAUUCCUCCGGAGUCCUUUUCCUUGGCUUAGGUUCUCGAAUCGAAUUCUUUCUAGGGGAGCAUUCGAUCUGUGCUUUCCCGGGGGGCUGAAGCUGUUGUUCUAUCUGUCCCGGGUUCCUCUUCGUAAUCGUUCAAUUGCUUUGCGUUGCGUUAAAAGAUGGGCUUGUUUCUUGUUGUCUCAGAAACCUCUUACAGGUUCUCGUGGAGCAGGAGGUAUGAACGGUGAAUUGUUGUGGCGGUUCAUGGAUGUUCGGACAAGGCUCAUUACACCAAUUUGUCCUGACUAUGCGGAGAUGUUGGGAAGAAUAUUUUGAAGAAGGAUGGCUGUGUAGUUACUGCUGGUUGGCCCCUGUAUGAUGCCUCUGAUCCUACACUCAAGAUUGCUAACAAGUACUUGCAGGACUUAAUAGUGUUAAUGAGGAAGUUGCUUCGGAAGCAAGUGUCUGGUCCUAAGAAGGCUAAAAAAGGGGCUACAAUUCCUGCAACAGAAGAAAGCAAACUAACAGUGGGUCUUAUAUAUGUGAAUGAGCAAUUUGAUGGGUGGAAAGAAGAAUGGUUGAGGAUACUUCACAGCAAAUUUGACAGAGAGAGAUGCUCUUAUGCACCUGAUCAGGAGAUACUUGAAGCAUUAAAGCAGGGUGUCAUUGGGCAGGAUUCGAACUUUAAGCAAAUCCAGAAGCUUUGUAUACCAUUCCUGAAAUUCAAGAAGGAUGAAGCAUUGUCUGUUGGUCCACAGGCUCUGGAUUUGAAGCUCCCUUUUGGUGAAAUUCAGGUUCUUCAGAAGAAUUCUGACUUGAUAAAGUGGCAAUUGGGUCUUGAACAUGUUGAAGUCUCUCUGCAUCAGAUGAAGUUGUAAGAAGUAAAGGUGGUUCAUGUAUCUCAUUGCUAACUCAGAAUCCCCCUUCACCUGGCAGUCCUGUUGCCAUCUUUUUGAGCAAGUUAGAUUAUACCACAGUUACUACUGCAGAAUUGGAGCCUAAAGAAGCACUUUGGAAACUUUUUGCUGGGAAAGACUGCUGCAGGUGUGUGCAGUAGCAACUUUAAUAAACUGGGUAGCUUACAGAAUCUUGGGUUUUUUAUUUUGAAAAUCUCUUCCCAUGGGUAAUAUUUGAUACAUAAAGGUAUUCAAUGAUAGUGAUCUGUUGCUACAUAAUAAUGGCAUCAUUGUUUGAGUUGGUAUGCCAAAAAGAAUGGAAAAGAGUCAUUCUGAUGGUGCAUAUGUAUUCACAUGUGGAUCUAAAUAUACCCUGCCGAUAUCUGAUACUUUCACUUGUCACCGGAAUACCUGUGUAGAGUUUUGCCGCCUCCAUGUGCUCUGCGGCAUCGACCUAUAUUUGUUAUACCUGUCUCAGUGAUUCUCCAUUUUCUCUGGAUCUCUUUCUUAAUUCACUACUUGAAUUCCAAGCAGAAGCGAUAUCAAUUGGGAG